rnacentral:rRNA from 1 species
AGGAAAGCAGGGGAUCGCAAGACCUUGCGCUCUUGGAGCGGCCGAUGUCUGAUUAGCUAGUUGGUGAGGUAAAGGCUUACCAAGGCGACGAUCAGUAGCUGGUCUGAGAGGACGACCAGCCACACUGGGACUGAGACACGGCCCAGACUCCUACGGGAGGCAGCAGUGGGGAAUUUUGGACAAUGGGGGAAACCCUGAUCCAGCCAUGCCGCGUGAGUGAAGAAGGCCUUCGGGUUGUAAAGCUCUUUCAGCCGGAACGAAACGGUCACGGCUAAUACCUGUGAUCACUGACGGUACCGGAAGAAGAAGCACCGGCUAACUACGUGCCAGCAGCCGCGGUAAUACGUAGGGUGCAAGCGUUAAUCGGAAUUACUGGGCGUAAAGCGUGCGCAGGCGGUUUUGUAAGUCAGAUGUGAAAUCCCCGGGCUUAACCUGGGAACUGCGUNUGAAACUACAAGGCU